UAGAUGCGAGAGUAGAGCAUAUCAAUAAGCGGAGGAAAAGAAACUAACAAGGAUUCCCUUAGUAACGGCGAGUGAAGCGGGAAGAGCUCAAAUUUGAAAUCUUCAAGGUUCUACCUUGACGAAUUGUAGUUUAAAGAAGUGUUUUCUGUUAGAUGAGUAGCAAAAGUUCCUUGGAAUGGGACAUCAUAGAGGGUGAGAAUCCCGUAUUUGGUUAUUCAUUCUAGCUUUGUGAUACACUUUCAAAGAGUCGGAUUGUUUGGGAAUGCAGUCCAAAAUGGGUGGUAAAUUUCAUCUAAAGCUAAAUAUUGGCGAGAGACCGAUAGCGAACAAGUACCGUGAGGGAAAGAUGAAAAGAACUUUGAAAAGAGAGUUAAACAGUACGUGAAAUUGUCAAAAGGGAAGCGUUUGACACCAGUGUUGUUUUUCCGAAAAUCAAUUACGAAUGGCUUGAUUUUGUGUUGUAUUGACCUUAUCAGCUUUCUGCACUUUUUUCGAGUCUUUCUUAAUGCACUUUUCGGUUAACAAGUCAACAUCAAUUUCUUUUGUUGUAAAAGAGUAUUCGGAAGGUGGCUUUCUUUUCGGAGAAGGUGUUUAUAGCCCUAUACUUCUACAAUCGGAGAGAUUGAGGUCUGCAGCGUAGAUCCUUCGGGGUUAGAUACACUUGUGCUAAGUUGUAGCUUUUCAUAGACAACUUGUUGACUAUGUUUAGUCAUGCGGCUUACUCGCUUAGUGCUAUUUUACCUACGCUUAGGAUGUUGAGCGCAUGUCUCUCUCU
rnacentral:rRNA from 1 species